AAAUUGCCGGCGGCGGCGGCGGCGGGAGGAGGCGGCGGGCAGGGCCGGGGCGGAGCCAGCGCCGCUGCGGGAGGAAGGGGGCGGAAGAAGUGGAGCGGUGGUGGCUGGUGGCGCCGUGAGCUGCCGCCGCCGCCGCCGCCGCGGGUGCGAGCUCCGGAGAGGACUUCAUGUUGAACAUGAGCCUUGUUAUGAUCAUUGAGAAUGUGAAGCUGGCCCGUGAAUAUGCCUUACUGGGAAAUUACGACUCUGCCAUGGUCUACUACCAGGGAGUUCUUGACCAAAUGAAUAAGUAUCUGUACUCUGUGAGAGAUACCUAUCUGCAACAGAAAUGGCAGCAGGUUUGGCAGGAGAUAAGUGUGGAAGCUAAGCAUGUGAAAGAUAUAAUGAAAACACUGGAGAGUUUUAAGCUAGACAAUACUCCAUUGAAAGCCUCACAACAAGAAUUACCAGCUCAUGAUGCAGAAGUCUGGUCUUUGCCAGUACCUGCUGAACGUAGACCUUCGCCAGGACCCAGGAAGCGCCAGUCUGCUCCGUGCAGUGAUUGCAGAGGGCACAGCAAUCGUGUGAGUGCAGCUGCCAGAGGCUCUCACCGUCCGUCCUCUCGCAACCCCAGCGAUAAAGGCAAGGCAGUCCGCAGCCGGGAAAAGAAGGAUCAGCAAAACAAAGGAAAAGAGGAAAAGAACAAAUCCACAUCUGAGAUUUCAGAGUCUGAACCAAAGAAAUUUGAUAGUACUGGAUAUGACAAAGAUCUAGUAGAAGCUUUGGAAAGAGAUAUAAUUUCUCAGAAUCCCAACAUCCGAUGGGAUGACAUUGCUGAUUUAGUAGAAGCCAAAAAGCUGCUUAAGGAGGCUGUAGUUUUACCAAUGUGGAUGCCAGAGUUCUUCAAGGGGAUUAGAAGACCGUGGAAGGGUGUGCUGAUGGUUGGUCCUCCUGGUACUGGAAAGACCCUCCUAGCAAAAGCUGUAGCCACUGAAUGCAAGACAACUUUUUUCAAUGUUUCUUCUUCCACACUUACCUCAAAAUACAGAGGAGAAUCUGAGAAACUUGUUCGUCUUCUGUUCGAAAUGGCUCGAUUUUAUGCCCCAACAACCAUAUUUAUUGAUGAGAUAGACUCCAUCUGUAGCCGCAGGGGAACUUCGGAGGAGCAUGAAGCCAGCCGACGUGUGAAGGCAGAACUGCUAGUUCAGAUGGAUGGUGUUGGGGGGGCUACUGAAAAUGAUGAUCCUUCUAAGAUGGUCAUGGUACUUGCUGCUACUAAUUUUCCUUGGGAUAUUGAUGAAGCCCUAAGACGGAGACUAGAAAAGAGAAUUUACAUUCCUUUACCAUCAGCCAAAGGUAGAGAGGAACUCCUCAAAAUAAAUCUGCGGGAGCUGGAACUGGCUGAUGAUGUUGACCUUGCAAACAUAGCUGAGAAAAUGGAGGGUUAUUCAGGUGCAGACAUUACCAAUGUAUGCAGAUUCUUAACGGGGCUCUGCAGACACGUGUCAGCACAGCUGAGAGGACAGUGUGCUGUGCCACAGGGAUGAAAGCAAGCAGCCUGUACACAAAGCUGCCACCAAAGGCUCUGUCUCCAAAGGCUCUGUCAGCAGGGCCACUGCAGGCUGAGCUAAAAGUUUGGAGCCUCAGUAGAGUUUCCUGGACAAACCUUGCGCAGUGUCUGGGAAAUGAAUGAGAUGCAUCAUUGAUGGCUAUGAGGAGGCGUAUUGAAGGCUUGACACCAGAAGAAAUCAGAAAUCUUCCCCGAGAUGAAAUGCACAUGCCAACAACUAUGGAAGACUUUGAAAUAGCUUUGAAGAAAGUUUCUAAAUCUGUUUCUGCU